UACGUAGGGUGCAAGCGUUAAUCGGAAUUACUGGACGUAAAGCGUGCGCAGGCGGCUUUGCAAGACAGAUGUGAAAUCCCCGGGCUUAACCUGGGAACUGCAUUUGUGACUGCAGGGCUGGAGUGCGGCAGAGGGGGAUGGAAUUCCGCGUGUAGCAGUGAAAUGCGUAGAUAUGCGGAGGAACACCGAUGGCGAAGGCAAUCCCCUGGGCCUGCACUGACGCUCAUGCACGAAAGCGUGGGGAGCAAACAGG
rnacentral:rRNA from 1 species